rnacentral:rRNA from 1 species
UACGGGGGGAGCAAACGUUGUUCGGAAUUAUUGGGCGUAAAGGGCGCGUAGGCGGCGUUUCAAGUGACGGGUGAAAUCCCUCGGCUUAACCGAGGAACUGCCUGUCAGACUGGAAGGCUUGAGACCGGGAGAGGUGAGUGGAAUUCCCAGUGUAGCGGUGAAAUGCGUAGAUAUUGGGAGGAACACCAGUGGCGAAGGCGGCUCACUGGACCGGUACUGACGCUGAGGCGCGAAAGCGUGGGGAGCAAACAGG